GCCCGCUUAGCUCAGUGGUAGAGCAUUCCCUUUACAUGGGAGUGGUCGGGAGUUCAAAUCUCUCAGCGGGCACCA
rnacentral:tRNA from 1 species